rnacentral:rRNA from 1 species
GAUGAACGCUAGCUACAGGCUUAACACAUGCAAGUCGAGGGACCGGCGCACGGGUGAGUAACGCGUAUCCAACCUUCCGUACACUCAGGGAUAGCCUUUCGAAAGAAAGAUUAAUACCUGAUGGUGUACGAUGGGGAUGCGUUCCAUUAGGUAGUAGGCGGGGUAACGGCCCACCUAGCCAACGAUGGAUAGGGGUUCUGAGAGGAAGGUCCCCCACAUUGGAACUGAGACACGGUCCAAACUCUACGGGAGGCAGCAGUGAGGAAUAUUGGUCAAUGGACGAGAGUCUGAACCAGCCAAGUAGCGUGAAGGAUGAAGGUCUACGGAUUGUAAACUUCUUUUAUAAGGGAAUAUGUACCCUAUGAAUAAGCAUUGGCUAACUCCGUGCCAGCAGCCGCGGUAAUACGGAGGAUGCGAGCGUUAUCCGGAUUUAUUGGGUUUAAAGGGAGCGCAGACGGGUCGUUAAGUCAGCUGUGAAAGUUUGGGGCUCAACCUUAAAAUUGCAGUUGAUACUGGCGUCCUUGAGUGCGGUUGAGGUGUGCGGAAUUCGUGGUGUAGCGGUGAAAUGCUUAGAUAUCACGAAGAACUCCGAUUGCGAAGGCAGCACACUAAUCCGUAACUGACGUUCAUGCUCGAAAGUGUGGGUAUCAAACAGGAUUAGAUACCCUGGUAGUCCACACGGUAAACGAUGGAUACUCGCUGUUGGCCAGCGGCUUAGCGAAAGCGGUAAGUAUCCCACCUGGGGAGUACGCCGGCAACGGUGCAACUCAAAUGAAUUGACGGA